UACAGAGGGCCCAAGCGUUGUUCGGAUUCACUGGGCGUAAAGGGUGCGUAGGUGGUUGGGCAAGUUUGAUGUGAAAUCUCCGGGCUUAACCCGGAAAUGGCAUUGAAUACUAUUCGGCUAGAGAGUUGGAGGGGGGACUGGAAUUCUCGGUGUAGCAGUGAAAUGCGUAGAUAUCGAGAGGAACACCAGUGGCGAAGGCGAGUCCCUGGGCAACUUCUGACACUGAGGCACGAAAGCUAGGGGAGCGAACAGG
rnacentral:rRNA from 1 species